CACUCCUCUACUCCUUAUAUGCUGUCCUGGUGCACAGUGGUGUCAGCUGUCAUGGAGGACACUAUUUCUGCUACACAAAGGUCAGCAAUGGAUUGUGGUACCGGAUGGAUGAUGAAUCUGUGCAGCUGUGUUCCAUUGACACAGUUCUCAGGCAGCAAGCCUACCUGCUGUUCUAUGCCAGAUGCUCUGAUCUGAGAAUUGGAGAAAGGCCUUCUUCCUCACUGGCACCAUCACAUGCCCCUUCCUUCCUCAGUCAGUGUGUGGCCAGCAGCAAGCAGGCGGGCUCUGUUGGAC